UCCAACUCAACUGUGUUGGGAGAGUUUCACCUGGUAGUCUGGAAGGUAGUUUGCUCCAACGCAACUGUGUUGGGAGCGUUUCACCUGGUAGCCUGGAAGCUAGUUUGCUCCAACGCAACGGUGUUGUGAGCGUUUCACCUGGUAGCUUGGAAGGUCGUUUUCUCCAACGCCACUGUGUUGGUAGCGUUUCACCUGGUAGACUGGAAGGCAGUUCUCUCCAACACAACUGUGUUGGGAGCGUUUCGCCUGGUAGCUAACCUGUGUGUUGUAUUUAUUCAUAUUACUUAAUUGUCUAGCAUCUGCAUUAGCUAGCUAUAGCUGCUGUAUACGGGGAAUGGGUUAGCCUAGCGAUUUUUAGUACUUGCACUUGGUCCUAUGAACAUCAACACCGGCAGAUUCAGAUUUGUAGUACUGCAAAUUUAAAUUUUUGACAAAUUUUCCAUUUCAAUAUUUUGUCAAAUUUCACAAAGUCCAUUCCAAGAUAUGUACGAACUUCAGCAAUGGAGGCAAGUAAGGUUUAUCACUUUCUAUGGCAAUUUACUUGAGUUAAAUUAUUUGCUCUAUAAAAACAUAUGGUUCUCACUGUACCAUAAUCAUCUUGCUAGAUAUACCUCAUGCUGUCCUUUAUAUUACUUAUUUGCAAGGAAUUUAAGCAUUGACAAUUAUUUAUGAACGUUGAACCAUGAAAGAAUUGAAUUAUUUUUGUUCAGGGGUAGGGUUUGCCCCUGAACAUUUAAUUUCAAGAUCAGUGUUCUACAGCGUUUGUCAAAUUCAGGACUGGCACUGGAUGCUGUAGGUGGAGGGAAGACCAGGAAUGGUGCAGCUCUGCAGAUGCUGAAGGUGUGCCAAAGGGUCACGUGUGUUCCUGAUGGGACUGAGGCGACGCAGUCGGAGGUCCCUGCGGUGGCGGUCAGCGGGAGGUGUCAAGACCAACCAGCUCCUCGUCCAGGAAAGGUCACGACGGAAGAGCAGAUGGCUGUGCAGUUGCCAUGGUGGAGAGACCCAGAGUAUGAUGACCGAACAGUUGAUCUACAACGAUGUCCUACUCCCCAUCCACCCUGAGGAUCCCUGGCUGCACCUACAAUCCAAUCUACCCCAGACAUAACCACUCGGAGCUCAACAACUCCUACAACUCCUCCUGCCUCCUACACACCAUACUGUUACCACUUUACCAUUUUAACUUUAAAAAAAAAAAGCACUGUAAUUCACACCAUGUUGUAGGAAAAGCAUGUUUAGCUCAAUGAUUUAUACAUUCUAUUUCUGUGACCCCAACUAUUGUAUUUCUAACCCAGUUACCUCUGAACCCUCUUUCUAAGGGAGCGACUAAAGGGACAAAGCUGGACCAAACCUGAGCUUAAAAAUCUUUUUAAUCUUUCUUUCAAAUGUCCUAAAUUGAAACGUAUAAAAUGCCUAAAGUAACUUGUCUAACAAAACAAAAAGCCAACCUAAUACCCAAACUUAACCAUCUAACCAAAGAUCUCAAAUGCCUAAACUCUCUUACCUUAACCGAGUACCUAAACCAAACCAUUUAACUAAACAUCUCAAAGGCAUAAACUCGCUUACCUCAACCUAACCUAAUACCCAAACUUAACCAUCUAACUGAAGAGCUCAAACACCUAAACUCUUACCUUAACCUAGUACCUAAACUGAACCAUCUAACUAAGCAUCUCUAAUAACUAAACUCUUUCCUAAUACCUAAACAAUCUUUAAUACAAUCACUAAUGCCUAAACUUAAACAAACACCAAUAAUAAAAGUUAACCAUCCUUAAUCUUAAACCCAAACCAGACUUGUCCCUGGGUCGCUCCACUUUGUUUCUUUAAAGGCAUCUCUUUUCCCCUGCAUCUGUGUUUUAUUCCUUGAGGACUCCAAGUACUUCAGAUGAUAUUUGAAAACUUGUUUAAUUAAUAAUGAGAUUAAUUUGGAGUGUGAAAAACAGAUGCGAAGUGAAGACCACUCUGUUUGUUGUGCUUUUCUUAUUACAUUAUACA